rnacentral:rRNA from 1 species
GACGAACGCUGGCGGCGUGCUUAACACAUGCAAGUCGAACGGAAAGGCCCUGCUUGUGUGGGGUGCUCGAGUGGCGAACGGGUGAGUAACACGUGAGUAACCUGCCCUUGACUUUGGGAUAACUUCAGGAAACGGGGGCUAAUACCGGAUAGGAGCUCCUGCUGCAUGGUGGGGGUUGGAAAGUUUCGGCGGUUGGGGAUGGACUCGCGGCUUAUCAGCUUGUUGGUGGGGUAGUGGCUUACCAAGGCUUUGACGGGUAGCCGGCCUGAGAGGGUGACCGGCCACAUUGGGACUGAGAUACGGCCCAGACUCCUACGGGAGGCAGCAGUGGGGAAUAUUGCACAAUGGGCGGAAGCCUGAUGCAGCAACGCCGCGUGCGGGAUGACGGCCUUCGGGUUGUAAACCGCUUUCGCCUGUGACGAAGCGUGAGUGACGGUAAUGGGUAAAGAAGCACCGGCUAACUACGUG